rnacentral:lncRNA from 1 species
GUUUUAGCUGGCUACAUAUCGUUGCUAGCUAGCUAGCUUUCUCCACAACAAGGAGGCGGGCGGAAGUAGCUAAUGCAUGUUAGCUAGCUAGUAAGCCUCAGUUCCGUUUUUAGUAUAGUUUGGUGGACGUUGGUUAACCUAUAUUGUGACUGAGUGACAAUAAGAGCUAGCCGACUUUCGCCGUUACAAGCAAGCCAUGGCUGAAUCCCAGAAAGCGGACCAUUCAGAGAUUUAGUAAGCGUGAACAAAUCAACAAUCUUAAACAAACACUGCACUCUCCAACUUGGUUCUUUUUGGUUCUCCCAAAGUUGGUAUUUGAUUGCAAGCAUGCGUUAGACUUUUCCCUCAAUAGCCAUGACACUUGAUCAAUCUGUCAACUGGG